rnacentral:rRNA from 1 species
UACGGAGGAUCCAAGCGUUAUCCGGAUUUAUUGGGUUUAAAGGGUGCGCAGGCGGCCCGGUAAGUUAGAGGUGAAAGCCCGUGGCUCAACCACGGAACUGCCUCUGAUACUGCCAGGCUAGAGAAUAGUUGCUGUGGGCGGAAUGUGUGGUGUAGCGGUGAAAUGCUUAGAGAUCACACAGAACACCGAUUGCGAAGGCAGCUCACAAAACUAUUUCUGACGCUCAGGCACGAAAGCGUGGGGAGCAAACAGG